rnacentral:rRNA from 1 species
AACGAACGCUGGCGGCAUGCCUAACACAUGCAAGUCGAACGAGACCUUCGGGUCUAGUGGCGCACGGGUGCGUAACGCGUGGGAACCUGCCCUUAGGUUCGGAAUAACUCCUCGAAAGGGGUGCUAAUACCGGAUAAUUUACUCGGACCCCAGAUUGAUCGCCCUUGUAUGGGCCCGCGUUGGAUUAGCUUGUUGGUAGGGUAAAAGCCUACCACGGCAAGGAUCCAUAGCUGGUAUGAGAGGAAGAGCAGCCACACUGGGACGGAGACGCGGCCCGGACUCCUAGGGGAGGCAGCAAAGGGUAAUAUUGGAAUAUCGGCCGAAGGCUGAACCAGCUAGGCUGGGAGAGUGAUGAAGGCGUGAGAGAAGUAAAGCUCGUUUAUCCGGGAUGGUAAUGACAGUACCGGAAGAAUAAGCACCGGCUAACUCCGUG